AACCGUCCACGAGGACAUAACUCAGUGAGGAACAUGGAAGAAAGGAUAGACACUUUCUGCCUAUGAGGCUGACUAUAUAUGGAGAGAUCAGACACAAACAUCUUCCCGGGAAAAUAUGUAUCACCAGAUAGCAGGAGACAACAAUCAAAGAUAUAUAUGGAAAAAAUGCAAUAUGAAUAUCUGAAAUGUCAAAAUUAUGCACGUAUACGCGUGGUUUAUGUAUGAUGAAUGCUGACAAACAGACAUAUCUAACACAACCAGGUCCAAGAAUUAAUGAACGAG
rnacentral:lncRNA from 1 species